GCAAGCAGUACCUGGGGUCCGUGGGUGUUCUCUGAGGAAGCUGCUGCAUGAGUCAGGCCUGCAGUGUGGUGGAGUAGAGUCCUUGAUAUGCUCCGAGAUGAUUCAACAGCACAGCUGAGACCUGAGUGUGCCAGGUCACAAGAGUAAACCGCUCUCCCUGUGCAUGCACGGCCGGAUUCCAUCCAGAAGUAAUCUGGGAACCCAUGUGAGUCUCAUUAGCACAAACACAGAUGGAGUCCCAGAGGUCCCUCUCUUCAUGUGAAGCUGGUGGCUCCCAGACUACACACAGCUCAACUGGGAAGGUGGACUGAGUGUGAUAUGUGAUAGAACACAUGCCAUGUCCCAUCCCUUGCAUUCUGUCCACAUCCACUAACCCUGAAUUCUAUGUUGCUGUGCCUCAGUUUCUCCUGCAGGCACUAUGGAACCUUGCAAGGUCUUCAAACAGGGCCCACCACCAUCUGACUGCAUUCUCCAUGGCUCUUAAAUCAAUGUCGAGAAGGAGAGGCUCUGGUGAUCUAGACCUCAGGAGGAGCUGAGAUGCCUAACAACCAUCUAAUCAGUUCUGGACCCAAGGAAGGAACCUUUGUAGGCAUCAGGGAAGGUGGACAGAAACAUUCAAGAGGAGAAAGUACAUGUACUCUGCUGGUUUAGAAUGAGACAUGGAGCACAGCAAUUCAUGAGAAAAAGUUAGAGAGAAGUUUCCUCUACCACAUCCUCCAGCCGAUGUGCUGCCUCACCACAGGCCCAGAAGCAAAAGGGCCAAGUGACUAUGGACUGAAACCUCCAGCACUGAACCAAUAUAAACAUUUCCUCCUUUUAAUUUCAUUACCUUAGGUAUUCUGUUACGUAACAGGAAGCUGCCUAGCACAAAUAUGUAUUGGGAAGAGUGUUAGGAGCUCUGCCACAUACAACUGAGGAGUUAAGCCAGAGCCUGCCUGUGAGGGUGGAGGCUCAUCUUCUAGUGCUGCCCUAGGGCUUCACCACAGAGCUUUAGAAAAUAAAAUCUUCAUUCAAUGUGGAUAUUGAACCAUUAAUGGGUGAGAUUAAAGGCAGAGUAAUCAGUUAUUGGCUAUUGCAUUAAUCCAAGAAAAAAGCAAUAAAGGCCUUGGAGGGAGAGAGAGAGAGAGGGAGG